rnacentral:rRNA from 1 species
UACGGAAGGCAGCAGGGGGGAAUAUUGCACAAUGGGCGCAAGCCUGAUGCAGCCAUGCCGCGUGUAUGAAGAAGGCCUUCGGGUUGUAAAGUACUUUCAGUCGUGAGGAAGGUGUUAAGGUUAAUAACCUUAGCAAUUGACGUUAGCGACAGAAGAAGCACCGGCUAACUCCGUGCCAGCAGCCGCGGUAAUACGGAGGGUGCGAGCGUUAAAUCGGAAUUACUGGGCGUAAAGGGCACGCAGGCGGUUAAUUAAGUUGGAUGUGAAAUCCCCGGGCUUAAACCUGGGAAUGGCAUUCAAGACUGGUUAGCUAGAGUCUUGUAGAGGGGGUAGAAUUCCAUGUGUAGCGGUGAAAUGCGUAGAGAUGUGGAGGAAUACCGGUGGCGAAGGCGGCCCCUGGACAAAGACUGACGCUCGAUGUGCGAAAAGCGUGGGGAGCAAACAGGGAUUAGAUACC